rnacentral:lncRNA from 1 species
GAAGGAAGAAUUAUUAGGGGGAGAAGAAGAGAUUGAAUGUGAGGGAGGAGCACGAUGAGUUGGAUUGAAGGAUAGGUAUAAGAUAAUGGUUGGAGGCGAUGAAGAAUACUUCAUAAUUAGGAGUGGGUGAAAUUUAACUAGACGAUGUAUCACAAUAAUACUAGAACCGUCUAUAAAAAUUAGGAGUGGGUAAAGAUCAACUAGACUAUAUAUCACAAUGAUAUUGUAAUCGUCUAAAAAUAUCAAGAAUGGUGAAUGUCAGGAAACGACAAGCUCGCUACAAGACAAGCUCGACUAAUAGAAACCUUGGUUUGGAAGUUUAAGUAAAUAACAUAAAAUGAAGAAGUCUCUCUGUAUGGAAAACUAUCCCUAAGCAAGUAAAACACUUAGCAAACCAAUCAGUUUAGAAACACUUAGGCCAAGGAUAGAAAGACACUUAGCAAAUCAGUCAGUUCAGAAACACUUAAGCCAAGGAUAGAAACACACAUAGCAAACGACCUAGUUCAGAAACACUUAAGACAAGGAUAGAAAACGAACAUCAGACACACUGGGUAGAAAGCCUCAAAUCAGAAAAUCAAAACACUAAAGAAUAACAUUGAAUAAUAAAAACUAGGAAAGAAAACCCCAAAGAUCAACCCUAGGAUAGAAUACCCUAGAAAAACACUAAGUUAGGAAACCAUAAAUCAGAAAGAAUAAACAAAAUCACAAAAAAUAAAAAAGAAAACAAAAAGGUGUAAAACACUAGGACAAAACGAUAAGCCAAAAAUAACAUAUCCAUCAUCUAAGAAAAAAGAUUGAACAUAGAAAAACUAAUCUAAGGAGCUCAGAAGAAAAGCACAAAAAGAAAACUUGACGCACCAAUUGAAGAAAAACAAAUUAGGAUAAAAACAUAAAACCUAGAACCAAAAUCCCAAACAUAGAAAAACUUAGGAAAACACUUAGGUUCUUAGGAAAUAGAAAAACAUCUAGGUCAAAACACCCAGACACAUGGCUAAAUGAUGUUGUACCUAAAAUGCUUGAGAAAGGUGAAGCUAAACCCUUGAUGUUUAUCAUACCUGAAAAAGGUAUUCAAUAAAGCUCUCAAAAAUAGAAUAGGUCG